CCCUUAGAUGUUCUGGGCCGCACGCGUGCUACACUGAGUGGAUCAGCGGGUCAGGUUGCGCGAAAGUGUUUCCUAAUCUUGAAAUCCGCUCGUGAUGGGGAUUGACGGUUGCAAUUUUCCGUCAUGAACGAGGAAUACCUUGUAAGCGCGGGUCAUCAUCCCGCGCUGAAUACGUCCCUGCCCUUUGUACACACCGCCCGUCGCUCCUACCGAUUGAAUGAUCCGAUGAAUAUCAUGGAUUGAGGAUGUAAGCAGGUUCGCCUGUCUUCAUCUUCGAGAAGUGAAGUAAAUCUUAUCAUUUAGAGGAAGGAGAAGUCGUAACA
rnacentral:rRNA from 1 species